UGGAAGGUAGCUUUGAUUUGGACGCUGCCCCUGCUAACCCUCCUCCUUUUGGGGGCCAUCUACGUGGGCUGGAGAGACCACAAAGCCAACAAGAGAGAAAUAAAGGAAAAGGAAAAAGAAUCCAACAGAACCGAUCAGAUUAAGAAGGACAUGGAACUCGCGCAGCAGACCGAAGAUGAACUCAAGGCGGACCUUGAACAGCGAAAGGCACUAUACAAAGAAGGUAAGA